AUGCUCAAUUUGGCAGUACAUAUACUAAAAUUGGAACCAUAUAGAGAAGGUUAGCAUGGCUCCUUCGCAAAGAUGGCUUGCAAAUUUGUGAAAUGUUCCUUUUUUUU
ensembl:snRNA U6 U6 spliceosomal RNA